GGGCGCGAGGCUCAUCCUCGUCCCCACCCCUAUCCCUGUCCCCAUCUCCAUCCUCAUCCUCGUCCCUAUCCCUGUCCCUAUCUCCAUCAUCCUCCUCAUCCCCAUCCUUAUCCCUGUCCCCAUCCCUAUGCCUGUUCCCAUCCCCAACCUCAUCCUCGUCCCCACCACGGGCGCUGAGCCCGGCCAGGACAGUGGCCAGCACCGGCCUCGCGCCCCUGGCGCGGAGGCUCCUGCGCCGUCCCGGCUGCCCCAAGCCGCCCUCAUGCUCGAGUAAACACCGCCGCGGCCGCCGCCGCCGCCUUGCCRUCCGCGCUGCGUGCCGGCAGCCUCCCGCCUCCGCCGGGGCCCCACGCGCUCGCGGCCGGCAGGAAGGCGGCUGGCGGGCAGCGCGCAGGGUGGCGGGGCGCGCGCCCGUGCCGGCAAGCCGGGGCAUGUCCCACCUGCCGGCGGCCCCGGUGCCGGGAGCGCGGCGCGGGCCGGGCGCCCCCGCCGUCCCCCCCGGCCGUGGCGGCGGGAAUUGUUCUGGGCUUUCCUGUUGACGAGCCCUGGUGCCUGGCUUUGCCGGGCUUUGCAUCCUGUCCCAGCCGGCCCCGCGCCAGCGCGGGCUGCGCAGCCGGCCGAGCCAGGGCCGCCGGGCAUCCGUGCCCCCCGCCCCUCCAGCGCCCCGGCUGGCUCUGACCUCGCCGCUCCCGCUCCGCAGGAGAGUUUCAGCCCACGGAGGACGACGGGCUGGAGGGGGAGGAGCUGCCCGCGGAGCCGACCCGCGAGGCGGCCGUGCCCAACGGCCACGUGCCCGGGGAGCCCCCGAGCCUGGAGCAGGAGCUGGGAGCCCGCCUGCGCAGCCUGGGCGACGCCUUCCAGCGGGCGCUCGAGCAGCAGCACCAGGAGCACCGGCGCCGCGGUGCCUUCUGGGGUCACGUCUACCACUUCGUGUCGCAGCUGCUGGGGGCCCUCUACAACCUGCAGGGAGACGCGCUGCCCGCACGGGAGCCGAACUAAGCUGCGCGCCGGGCUGCCGCAGGACGCGUGCCUACCGGGGUCAACCCACCCUCUACAGACUGGAGCAAAAAUGUAGCGCGGCCAGAGGCCCCCCUCCGUGAACCAAAACUGCCUGGUGCUGUGACUCCUGCAGGGCCUCGUUUGUGCUGCAUCCCCCCUCCCCGUGCUGGGCACUUUCUAUUUAUUUAUUUAUUGUUCUGCUGUGGAAGGCGGGUUGGGAGCCCCAGGCGGGGGGACGCACGAGGCGGCCGCGAGCAGGUGCAGGCUGCGGUGCUGGGGGCUGCGAGCGCGAUUCCUGCGAUCGCAGUUGCUGCUGCCUGGUGCUGCCCCACGUGGCUCCUGUCCGGGAUUCCCCUUCCCCGGCCCUGGGGGGGGGCGCUGCUCCUGGACGCAGCAGCAGCUCGGGAGCGCGGGGGGUGGCUGUAGCACUUUGUACAUACUGUAUGUUGGAUCUGUACAUAGAUGGGGAGGUGUGGGGAACUGUACAUUAUAUAUACUGGGUGGCACUGUGUACAUAGGGGAAGGAGGGGAGACUGUACAUUUGGGAACACACCUGCUGUACAUGAUCAGUUACUUUUUUUGUACGUUUCUUUUCAAUAAAAUGAAUUUAAGCAGAUGGUAGUCCUCUGUU
rnacentral:lncRNA from 1 species